rnacentral:rRNA from 1 species
UGCAUCUAGAUUGCGGAUCCGCGCCCGCAGAGUUUGAUCAUGGCUCAGAUUGAACGCUGGCGGCAUGCCUUACACAUGCAAGUCGAACGGUAACAGGUCUUUCGGGAUGCUGACGAGUGGCGAACGGGUGAGUAAUACAUCGGAACGUGCCUAGUAGUGGGGGAUAACUACUCGAAAGAGUGGCUAAUACCGCAUGAGAUCUAUGGAUGAAAGCAGGGGACCUUCGGGCCUUGCGCUACUAGAGCGGCCGAUGGCAGAUUAGGUAGUUGGUGGGAUAAAAGCUUACCAAGCCUACGAUCUGUAGCUGGUCUGAGAGGACGAUCAGCCACACUGGGACUGAGACACGGCCCAGACUCCUACGGGAGGCAGCAGUGGGGAAUUUUGGACAAUGGGCGCAAGCCUGAUCCAGCAAUGCCGCGUGCAGGAUGAAGGCCUUCGGGUUGUAAACUGCUUUUGUACGGAACGAAAAGUCUUGGGUUAAUACCCUGGGAUCAUGACGGUACCGUAAGAAUAAGCACCGGCUAACUACGUGCCAGCAGCCGCGGUAAUACGUAGGGUGCAAGCGUUAAUCGGAAUUACUGGGCGUAAAGCGUGCGCAGGCGGUUUUGUAAGACAGUGGUGAAAUCCCCGGGCUCAACCUGGGAACUGCCAUUGUGACUGCAAGGCUGGAGUGCGGCAGAGGGGGAUGGAAUUCCGCGUGUAGCAGUGAAAUGCGUAGAUAUGCGGAGGAACACCGAUGGCGAAGCAGCCCCCUGGGAUAAUACUGACGCUCAUGCACGAAAGCGUGGGGAGCAAACAGG